CCCGCGUACAACCAAUCCGUGAUGCUCGGAGGCGGGGUGGCGCGUUAGGGUGUGCCAGCGGUCCUCACGACGCGCGCAUUCACCUGGUCUGCUGCGGCCGCGCGCCCGGGAACGCGGGGGUUGCAGGGACCGAAUCCGCGGUGAGGGACAUCAGGGACGUCGGGGAAAGGGAUGUAAGAGAUCGUUGUCACCGUGGAUGGGGUGUCACCAAGGCAGGGGCGAGGGGUUGCUGUGUCUGGGAAAACCUUGGGAUUAGGGACGAGCGCGUAGAGGAGGCACCUUGUGGACCUGAGGAGCUGAGCCUAGUUCUCAGUGGGACUUGAAGCAGGCUGGGGUGGCGGAGGACAGGUGGGUGGAGGGCGGUUCUGUCGAGGUUGCUUUACUUGGACAUUCCGUUCGCUUUCACGCUGGCGCAGCCCAGCCCCCCUGACCAGCGCCGCUCUUCCACCUGUCACCAGCUGGUUCUCCUUGAGGUUCCGGCCCGUUGACCACAGUACUUCAGUUGGUGUAGAGGAAGUUGAUGUGAGCCUUGCGGAGCUCGUGGGUUAGGACACUCACCUCUUCUCUGCUGUGGGAAAAGGGGAAGACAGAGGUGUGAAGCCUCAGGUGGAACCUGUUCUUCGGCGCAGGAUUCUUCGCGAGAGCCCUGACCCUCGCUUCCAUUCAUCGAUUUAGCCACACAGGCUGGAUUCCUGGAUGCUAACUUCCUACUUUUGGGCUCAGUACAGACCCUGAGGCCAACAGGACCCAGACCUCUCUUCCGUGUCGCAAUUCCACCUUUCCUCCAAUUACUGUGCCUGGCUUUUGGCUUCAUUAUAACCAGCAAUCCCCGACACUUGGAAGAAAACUAAAGCGGACAUCUGGAAGAAAUGCGGGCUCCUGGGGUCCUGCGGAAUUGAAAGGAACAGCUACCGGGGCAGUCGCUCCUCUUCAACUCCAUCCCACCUCCCGCCCCCCGCCCCGCCCUCCGCGCUCCGCCCCCCGCCCCCCGCCCCCUGUCCGUGCGUUCCAUGUUGUUAGAAUGGUCACCAGGUGGCGCUGCAGACCCGCCGUUUGGGUGCUCAGGGCCUCGCCCGGGUCAGGGUCUGCGUCAAACAGCGCCUAGGAAGUAAGUCCUGAGUUUCCAGAGUGUUGAGACUGAUUGGCCCAUUUUCUGAUGUUUGGCGCCUGAAGAACAAUACCAGAAGGUCUCUCUCGUAGGCUGGCUGGAAGGCUCACCAGAUCAGGGCAUUUGGGCCUGACAGAUCCCCAUGACCCACUUGGUAGAAGAGAACCAUCCUGUGAUGACACUUGGACGACACUUGGGAUCAGCCACAGCCACACGCUGGCGACUCUAACACCGGACUCAGACUGAUAGAAGUUUUUUGAAUGCUGAACAAAAUCAUACCGGUCAGGGCCAUGGCCUGGAUUCGGGAACCAGACUGUGAUGUCGGUCUGCUUCUGAUGCAAAGUUUUUUAUACGGAAAAACUGUAACCAGGUAACAACCAGGUAACCAGGUAUAGGAAACAAGAGGGGGCAGCAUUACAUCAUUUUGACCAGCUGAGCAUAGUUGAUUUUGUUCCAAGUGUAUUGUAUUGUAUCUAGGUGGCUAGACAAAGCACUUUAAGCUGAUUGGCUGGGAUUUAGGGUAGGGGAGCUUUUGGGGGCUUUUAAGCUUUCUGGGAAUAAGGGUCACAGCAGGAUGUUUCGGUCUCAGAGAACAUACAUUUAUCUUUAACUGUUGGUUUAUUCUAAGCAGCAAGUGUUGAACUAUUGAAUUGUAUCCUGGUCUUAGGCACAUAGGGCCUGAGAACUUGAACUUAAUUUCACCUUAUAAUCAAAAUGGAGACUUGGAAGCAAAAUGGUUUCUGAUACCCUAAAGGCAACAGCAGGUGUUAACAGAGGAGCCACAGUUGUGGUAAGAAGGAAAGCAGGGGUCAGCGGAGGGGCUAAAGAGUUUAAGCAGGUUAAACAGGUGACCACGCACUUUUAUUUUAUCUAUUUAUUUUUGGAAUUUUUUUUGAAAAAAAAAUUGUAAGAGCAUAUUCUAAGAAUAUAUUCUAAUCUUGGCUUACUCUUCCCCAAAUCCUCCCAGAUCUUCCCCACCCAUCCAACUCCACAUUCUUUCUCUCUCACUUUAGAAAACAAACAGGUGCCAUGCCUGUAAUCCUACCACUCUGGGAGGAAGAGACAGAUGGAUCUCUGAGUUCGAGGCCAGCCUGGUCUACAAAGUGAGUUCAGGACAGCCAACAGCCAGGAACACACAGAGAAACCCUAUCUUGAAACAAACAAAACAAAACAAAAAAAACCCCAAACAAAACAACCCCCCAUAAAAAGACAAACUCAGAUAUCAUAUUAUACAAGCAAAAGACCAGUAGGCAAAAAAAAAAAAAAAAAGCUUAAACAAAGCAAUAUGAGACAAAGUCUAUUACUACUAUCAUUUUGUGUUGGUCAUAAACAUCUAGGCUUGGGACCUACCCUUAAGUUAAUAUAUCCAUUCAGUGGGACUCCAUUGGAGACAACAGAUGUCAAAGAGAGAUAGCUUCUUGGUGAGGGCUGGGCGCUCUUGUCCAUUCCCUCCCUCAGUGCUGGGACUUGCCCGUGUUGCCACAGCCUCAGUGAGUUCAUCAUAUGUCCGUCAGUCCUGUUGUGUCUAGCCUGUUUCCAUCCCCUCCGGCUCCUAAGUCCUUCUAUCUCCUCUUCCACAGAGAUUCCUGAGCCCGGAGGGAAGGCGUUUGAUGAAAACUUCUCGUUUAGGACUGAGUGUUCCAAAAUCUUUCACUCUCUGCAUUUUAUAGCUGUGGUUCUCUGUGUUAGUUCCCAUCUAUUGCCAUAAAGGAAGCUUCCCUGGUGUUGGCUGAACAAGGCACUGAUCUGAGGCCCAGCCCAUUUCUACUAAAACAAAACAAAACAAAACAAACCCUUCACUGACCCCAAACACCUCAGGAAAAAAGUUUCCUCUUGUGAACAUCCUGAAGAUGUGUAAAUUUAAUUUAAAAAUGUGUUUUUCUCUUGUUAAACAAGAAAACAAUUAGCUGUGUUCUUAUGCCCAGCAAAGAGACCUCGUAGGGAUUAAGGGACCACAUGACAUAAGGGAGGCAUGACUGUCUCCACACUGUUCCAGAAGCGAAGGACUGUCCUGGCAUCACCAAAAGUUGAUGAGGUCCUCCCAGCUGCCAUUUGUCCUUAUCUGCCACUCCAGGCUCAGUCUUUUGUUUUAACCAGUUAGACCUUGGGCUGACUCACCCAAACUGCAAACGCCUACCCAGCAGGCUGGGCUGUGCCUUCCUUUAGCUUCCUCCUCAACAGACUGUAGCCCCAAGAGGACCCUGGGGCUGCCCAGGUCAGGUGUAGAGUGGAAUGGACGUGGGGAGUGUUUGCCCGCUAGGAUCUCAACAUGAAAACAACAUAGCUCAUUCAUUAGCUUAAAUCGGUAUGGCACGCAAUGACAGAAAUUGAAGUGUUCAAGUUUGAAUAUAAAUUCUUUCCUAAGAUCCAAAAUAAGCACAUCAUAUCAGAAAUAUGGUCAUGAUUGUGUUUUUCCAUGUCAGAGUUUAAUUGAAUAAAAAUAAGCUCACAAACUAUGUUAGUUGGUGUUAUUGUAAUUUAAAGUAGUUCAGAUUUCUCUUGACAUUAUGGUCACAACGAUCACAAGUUCCUUUAUUCCAAUUUGUUUGUUUGUUUGUAGCCAUGGCUGUCAUGGAAUUCAUUAGUAGACUAGGCUGGCCUCUAACUCCCAGAGAUCCAUCUGCUUCUGCAGCCUGAGUGCCGGGAUCAAAGGUGUGUGCCACCAUGCCCAGCCUUUAUUAUAUAUAUAACCCUUAACUCCUAAUACUGAUCUGCAUCCAGUGAAGUCUAAUGCUGCUUUGUAAAAUGUAGUCUCUUAGGGCAAAGCACAGACUGAAAUUCACUAUUCCACUCAGUAUGGAGUGCCUUACAGAAGGGCACAGCCUCAUAUCCAUAAAUGUCCCAAGGAGAAGUUUUAGUGCAAGAACACCUUAAGUAAGCCAAACCCAAUUACAAUUAUUUAUUUAUAUUUGAGGUAGAGUCUUGCUUUGUAGCUCAUGCUAGCCUUCAGCUUAUAAUCAUCUUGCUAGGAUUACAGGCCUGAACCAUGAUACCUGGUUCUCUCUCUCUCUCCUUGCCUCCUUCUCUCCAUCUCCAUCCAAUAAACUCUUUCAUAUAGUAUCUGUUGUGUGCAUCCUUUUUAAACAAUAACAGCUUGGAUUCUAAUUUCUUUUGUUUGUUUUUUUGAGACAGAGUUUCUCUGUGUAGCCCUGACUGUCCUAGAACUCACUCUGUAGACCAGGCUGGCCUUGAGCUCACAGAGAACUGCCUGCCUCUGCCUGGGUUUACAGGCGUUUGCCACUAUGCCUGGCAUCGAACUCUAAUUCUUAAGGACAAAUCCAAAAUAGAUUGUAAUGGAGAAAUAUUCCAAACAUGUGACAAUAAAGACUGGUCAAGAAAAACAAAGUGUCCCACUCUUGCUACUGAU